AACCCAUGGUGAGGGAACCUUCUCAAAAGGCCCUUGUAUCUGUCCCAUGCAUCGUAGAGUGUUUCUAAAUCCAUCUGCACAAAAGAAGAAAUAUCAUUGUGUAACU
rnacentral:snoRNA from 1 species